GGGGGAAGAACUUCCUGCUUUGAAUUUGAGAAAGUACACGCUGCCUAUGUCAGAUGUUAUUCCAUUUCCAAAGAAAGGGGAUCCUUCUAGUGCACCAGAUUUUCCUCCAGGGAGACAUGUGUUGGCUGUCUAUCCUGGAACUACAGCUUUGUACAAAGCAACUGUUGUGAAUCCUCAUCGGAAGAGGAAAUCUGAUGAUUAUUUGCUCGAGUUUGAU
rnacentral:misc_RNA from 1 species